GACGAACGCUGGCGGCGUGCUUAACACAUGCAUGUCGAACGGAAAGGCCCUGCUUUUGUGGGGUGCUCGAGUGGCGAACGGGUGAGUAACACGUGAGUAACCUGCCCUUGACUUUGGGAUAACUUCAGGAAACUGGGGCUAAUACCGGAUAGGAGCUCCUGCUGCAUGGUGGGGGUUGGAAAGUUUCGGCGGUUGGGGAUGGACUCGCGGCUUAUCAGCUUGUUGGUGGGGUAGUGGCUUACCAAGGCUUUGACGGGUAGCCGGCCUGAGAGGGUGACCGGCCACAUUGGGACUGAGAUACGGCCCAGACUCCUACGGGAGGCAGCAGUGGGGAAUAUUGCACAAUGGGCGGAAGCCUGAUGCAGCAACGCCGCGUGCGGGAUGGCGGCCUUCGGGUUGUAAACCGCUUUCGCCUGUGACGAAGCGUGAGUGACGGUAAUGGGUAAAGAAGCACCGGCUAACUACGUG
rnacentral:rRNA from 1 species